rnacentral:rRNA from 1 species
AGACCCGAAACCCGGUGAUCUAGCCAUGGGCAGGUUGAAGGUUGGGUAACACUAACUGGAGGACCGAACCGACUAAUGUUGAAAAAUUAGCGGAUGACCUGUGGCUGGGGGUGAAAGGCCAAUCAAACCGGGAGAUAGCUGGUUCUCCCCGAAAGCUAUUUAGGUAGCGCCUCGUGAAUUCAUCUCCGGGGGUAGAGCACUGUUUCGGCUAGGGGGCCAUCCCGGCUUACCAACCCGAUGCAAACUGCGAAUACCGGAGAAUGUUAUCACGGGAGACACACGGCGGGUGCUAACGUCCGUCGUGAAGAGGGAAACAACCCAGACCGCCAGCUAAGGUCCCAAAGUCAUGGUUAAGUGGGAAACGAUGUGGGAAGGCCCAGACAGCCAGGAUGUUGGCUUAGAAGCAGCCAUCAUUUAAAGAAAGCGUAAUAGCUCACUGGUCGAGUCGGCCUGCGCGGAAGAUGUAACGGGGCUAAACCAUGCACCGAAGCUGCGGCAGCGAACGUAUCACUUAAAGCGAUUCAGCGGGUUACGAUUGACGGAGCGAAGCGACGUCAAAGCGUAUACAAAGUCGAGUCGGUUUAAGGAUACGUUCGUUGGGUAGGGGAGCGUUCUGUAAGCCUGUGAAGGUGUGUCGUGAGGCAUGCUGGAGGUAUCAGAAGUGCGAAUGCUGACAUAAGUAACGAUAAAGCGGGUGAAAAGCCCGCUCGCCGGAAGACCAAGGGUUCCUGUCCAACGUUAAUCGGGGCAGGGUGAGUCGACCCCUAAGGCGAGGCCGAAAGGCGUAGUCGAUGGGAAACGGGUUAAUAUUCCCGUACUUGGUGUUACUGCGAAGGGGGGACGGAGAAGGCUAUGUUGGCCGGGCGACGGUUGUCCCGGUUUAAGCGUGUAGGCUGGUUUUCCAGGCAAAUCCGGAAAAUCAAGGCUGAGGCGUGAUGACGAGGCACUACG